CCAGUCAUAUGCUUGUUUCAAAGAUUAAGCCAUGCAUGUCUAAGUACCUGCCGACCUAAGGUGAAACCGCGAAUGGCUCAUUAAAUCAGUCAUAAUUUACAGGAUGUUGUCAAAUCCUUACUCGGAUAACUGUGGUAAUUCUAGAGCUAAUACGUGCAAUUAGUCUCCGACCUCGACGUCAGCGCGCUUCGGGCGUUCUGUCGCUUCGAGGGAAGGGCGCAUUUAUUAGACCAAAACCGGGUGGACAUACGCGCGUGCGGGUCGAUGGGGAAGCGUGGGGUUUUACUACUCCUCCUUCAUUCACGCCCGUUCGCCGUCCAUGCCUCUUCGGUAACUUGGUGACUCUGGAUAACUAUUGCCGAGCGCUGAGGUCUUCGCACCGGCGCCGUAUCCUCCGAGUGUCUGCCUUAUCAGCUCUCGAUUGUAGGAUAUUUGCCUACAAUGGCUGUAACGGGUAACGGGGAAUCAGGGUUCGAUUCCGGAGAGGGAGCCUGAGAAACGGCUACCACAUCUAAGGAAGGCAGCAGGCGCGCAAAUUACCCAAUCCCGGCUCGGGGAGGUAGUGACGAGAAAUAACGAUAUGGGGACUCUUCAGAGGCUUCAUAAUCGGAAUGAGUCCGGUGUAAACACGCGGACGAGGAUCCAUUGGAGGGCAAGUCUGGUGCCCAGCA
rnacentral:rRNA from 1 species